GCGAGCCAAUCAGGACACGAAGUGCGGGGAAGCGCGUCGGCAGUUGGGCGCGUGGCGUCGGACUGAGAAGAGGUUGAAGAGGCUUGUGGCCCAGGGGUGACCACCAUGCGCGAGUGCAUCUCCAUCCACGUGGGGCAGGCGGGCGUCCAGAUCGGCAACGCCUGCUGGGAGCUGUACUGCCUGGAGCAUGGCAUUCAGCCCGACGGCCAGAUGCCCAGCGACAAGACCAUCGGCGGCGGGGAUGACUCCUUCAACACGUUCUUCAGCGAGACCGGGGCCGGCAAGCACGUGCCCAGGGCCGUGUUCGUGGACCUGGAGCCCACCGUGGUCGACGAGGUGCGCACAGGGACCUACAGGCAGCUCUUCCACCCGGAGCAGCUGAUCACCGGGAAGGAAGACGCGGCCAACAACUACGCCCGCGGCCACUACACCAUCGGCAAGGAGAUCGUCGACCUGGUCCUGGACCGCAUCCGCAAGCUGGCGGACCUGUGCACGGGGCUGCAGGGCUUCCUCAUCUUCCACAGCUUCGGGGGCGGCACCGGCUCGGGCUUCGCGUCGCUGCUCAUGGAGAGGCUCUCGGUGGACUACGGCAAGAAGUCCAAGCUGGAGUUCGCCAUCUACCCGGCGCCCCAGGUCUCCACAGCCGUGGUGGAGCCCUACAACUCCAUCCUGACCACGCACACGACCCUGGAGCACUCGGACUGCGCCUUCAUGGUGGACAACGAGGCCAUCUACGACAUCUGCCGGCGCAACCUGGACAUUGAGCGGCCCACCUACACCAACCUCAACCGGCUCAUCGGGCAGAUCGUGUCCUCCAUCACGGCCUCCCUGCGCUUCGACGGCGCCCUCAACGUGGACCUGACCGAGUUCCAGACCAACCUGGUGCCCUACCCCCGCAUCCACUUCCCCCUGGCCACGUACGCCCCGGUCAUCUCGGCCGAGAAGGCCUACCACGAGCAGCUGUCCGUGGCCGAGAUCACCAACGCCUGCUUCGAGCCGGCCAACCAGAUGGUCAAGUGUGACCCUCGCCACGGCAAGUACAUGGCCUGCUGCAUGCUGUACCGGGGGGACGUGGUCCCCAAAGACGUCAACGCGGCCAUCGCCACCAUCAAGACCAAGCGCACCAUCCAGUUUGUGGACUGGUGCCCGACCGGGUUCAAGGUAGGCUGGGGUGCUGACCCGCCGCAGAGGGUCCCCUGUUCCCGGGCAGCUGGGUUUCAGGGACAGCAAGGUUAGUAAUGAGUGUGCUGGAUGCCUUGAUCUUGNCAGCGGGCCGUGUGCAUGCUGAGCAACACCACGGCCAUCGCCGAGGCCUGGGCCCGCCUGGACCACAAGUUCGACCUCAUGUACGCCAAGCGCGCCUUCGUGCACUGGUACGUGGGGGAGGGCAUGGAGGAGGGGGAGUUCUCGGAGGCCCGGGAGGACCUGGCGGCGCUGGAGAAGGAUUACGAGGAGGUGGGCGUGGACUCGGUGGAGGCGGAGGCCGAGGAAGGGGAGGAGUACUGAAGGCGGCGUGGCCGCAGCCCCACACUUGUUUCCCCCAGUGUCCCGUCACAGAUGUGUUUCCCUAUUAAAGUUUCUCAGGUAAACCUG